rnacentral:rRNA from 1 species
UACGGGGGGAGCAAGCGUUGUUCGGAUUUACUGGGCGUAAAGGGCGCGUAGGCGGUCGUGACAAGUCACUUGUGAAAUCUCCGGGCUUAACUCGGAACGGUCAAGUGAUACUGUCGGACUAGAGUACAGAAGGGGCAACUGGAAUUCUCGGUGUAGCGGUGAAAUGCGUAGAUAUCGAGAGGAAGACCAGUGGCGAAGGCGGGUCUCUGGACAGUUCCUGACACUGAGGCACGAAGGCCAGGGGAGCAAACGGG